GCCUUGACCAGAUGGUGCCAAACCGUUUAGAAUGAACCGUAUCCAAAGAUCCAUUUACCCAAACGGUAUGCGAAACGAGGAAAUUGGCCGUAGUAGGCCUAGUUUGACUCUAUCGCCAGACAAGCAGGGGCGGUUCAAUCGAUCUAUCUACGUAAGGGUAGCUCAUUCAAUCUCCCUCGGGGGAGAGGCUUCUUGCCCAGUCCCGAAGUGCUUAAUCUGGGUUGAUCGAUCCUGUCGCAUCUUAAGUUUGAUCGAUUUUGCUGUUUUUGUCUUUCUGUGCCAUCUUCAGGCGAUCCAAUAUCGAGUGGGGUACUUUCGCCGCUACUCCUUUACUCCUACCGUGGCAAUUAGCCCGUAAGGGAAGAUCCCCGCUUUCUGUGCUGUGAGAUAUGUCCAUAAAAUCCCUGCUCGUAUCUUAAUUCGUCUUACUAUUCUUUUUCUCGAAAGAAAGGCAUUCUUGCAAAGAAUCGAAGAGUAUCUGUAAAGGGACCGGCUUCCCAGAAAGUGGAAUGCCCUAGGACUGGAUUCAUCCCCAUAUGGAACUGGGGAGGGAUUCCCUGAAACCAGAGCAAGAACCUAAAGAAAACAAGUGAAAAGGCGCAUCUCUCUAAGCCAAGAUCGUCUGCUCCUCAGCAAUUGAUCCGAAAAGUGCCACAGCUGCUUCUUAGGCGAGCGAAGUGACCUCCGUGGGAAGAAAGAAGCUAAUAGAGUCAUAGAAGAUCUCGAAAGAGGCGAAUUGCCAGAAAGUUUCUCAAAUCCGAUCCUUGCAUCAUCUGAUCUCGACCGGGUUAACUCCUAAAUGAAGGCAGUGAGCAUCGAAUAAGCCAAUUGAGACUAUCGUCUGUUUACAGCAAAUCAAGAUUAGAUGGACAAAGAGAGCUUCAGUCAACACAGUCCUAGAAGCUCCAUUCAUGCCCACUUCUAUUCCUAAGAGCCCAUCAUUCUACUCAAAAGAGGACGGAGGCUACUUUCGGGACAUUGGUUGCAGCGAUUUGUAGACCAAUAGCAAAAGCAGCAACGAUUCGAUGCUCUCAAGCAGACGGCUUCCUUCCUCUGGUUUUCUGCUCUAAGCGGCUAGGAGAGCUAUUGGGAAGUUCUUUCUAAAGAAAGUCUUCUCUUUUAGGUAACUAUCAAUAUCAUAAGAGAAGAAAGCACUACUUCUUUCUUGCUGCUUUUAUUUUAUCUUCAUCUAUUCCAUUAUUCUUCACUUACUAAAGUCAAAGUAGUAAUUCAAUUAGCAAUUGAGUUCUGAUCAAACAUGUGCUGUCUUCUAUUCCGAUGUAUUUGCUACAGGUAUUGACCCCUCCUAGGUAGGUUUUGACUUUGCUUGGGAGGAUGUUCAAUCGAUUUUUGUGGGAUCGUGGUGAUGAUAAGCGAAUACAUUGGAAGUCCUGGGAUGAUCUUUGCUACCCGUUAGAGGAAGGAAGAUUGGCCAUUUAGAGACCGCGUGUUUCAAGAAAGAUCCAUCGCUGAAGCCUGAAAAGGUGACCGCCAAGCCUCCAUCUAAUCAGGUUUCGAAGCAAAUUUAUGUGCCGAAGCAGAGUGAGGUUCCAAAGUCAGAUACUUCAAUUAAGAUUAAUGAGGGUAAGCAGGUGGUGAAUGUGGAAUCUGUGAGAUCCCAUGAGUGCUACUAAAUGGCACGUUAGAACCCCCUCCUCGCACUCUAAGAAAAAAGUCAAUACAGGUGCCGCUUCUUCUCCUUAAUCGUAAAUAGCUUCUCUUGAUCGGGUUGACGAGCUUACCCUCCCUGAAGUUUCACCAUCCUCAUCGAAAUCUCUAUAAAAACCAGCAUCCGUGAAAUACGCCUCCUCCACUUCAAAGGGAUUACUGACCGCAUCAAUGUGUACGGGCGUAUUUCCCAACAGCGCCUUAACACACUGAUAAUAGCUUGAAGACACAGCUUUAAAGUGCUGCGUCCAAGGUCGCCCCAAAAGCAAGUGAUACGGAGGAUGAGAAUCUAUCACAUGGACUUUUACCCGGCUUUUCAAAGUCCCCACACGGACUUCUAUGAACAUAAAGCCUUCACUUUCUAACUCAUCCGCCCUUCCACUUUAACUUCCACUUCUUGAGCUGACCCAGCCUGAGUAAAGGCCAUUAAGGCCCCUAGGUAAGACAUAAAGUAGAACGAGAUGAACUCUAAGUUCUAAAUCCAUAGUCAAAGGAGAAUUUUCUUAUCCAGAUAAGUACGUAGAGUGAAAAAGGAAAAAGCUCUACGUGCUUAGAAGGUUGUUCAAUUACAUGGCUGGCUUUUGGGAGAUAGACUUGCACAGAAAGCUAUCCGUUCCAGGAGAAAAAGUAGCUCGAGCAGGAGUUUAUUAACAGCUGAAAAACAGAAGACUGGGGCCUUUUACAAAAAGUCUGGGGCAACCCUCGGGUGAGAAGUGAGAGCUGCUUGAAGUCAUUGAAGUCACUAGUCUUACUAAAGCUAAAGAAGGAACUCCGAGUGAAGAAGAAGAAAAUGACCCUCGGGAGUCAAUCGCUUCCUUAAGCCCGGAAAAUCCAAAUAAGAGUAGAGGCCCUAUUCCUACUGACGCGCUUACUAUAGGAGCGGCAAGUGCCUUUACUCAACUAAUGAAAGAAAAGCAAUUCUUUUUUUCCCGAGCGAACGGUCGAUUCAAAAAGGAGUUGCAUGCAUACUUAUAUAUAUAUUCUAUAUAUUGAUGCCCUCCGGGACUCCGCUUUCGGGGGCGGGGGACGCAUUGUGAGUGUCAUCUAGUGAAGUAGUCUAUUUUACCUUUAUGGCAUUGCCGGAUUGGCUUUACAGGGGUUCACUCCAAGACUCAUGGGGUACUACUACUCCUUAUUCGAUAGAGGGCAUUAGGGCCUUUGUUCAUAGUCAUUUCUUAGUGUAAUUACUUACGAGAUUCAUUAAGAGAAAGGAAGAGAAGAAAAGAAGCUCUCUUGGGGAAGGAAGUCUUUAGCCGCUUUAACUGCUUUCCCUCUCUAUAAGAGUUUCCUGUUCGUAAGUUUAUAGCGCUUUGUCGAGAUGAAGGGAGAAGGUCCAGCUUUACUUAUUCCACAUUCUUUAGGAAUGAAAUAAUCACCUGUUGAUGCGGAAGAAGCGGUCUUAGCUGCUAUCUCUUACUUCCCUAGGGGAGGAAAAAAGAAGCUCUUCUUCCCGGAAAAAAUGCUUGAAUGAGUUGAAUUGGUAGAAGGCGACAGAGGCGAGAGCCUGCUUUACCGAGAACUAGUCUUUUGCAUCAUCAGAUGCUUAUAGAGCACUUAUGUCACUGAAUUGUCUGCCUUAGAGGAUAGACCUCUUGUUUCUGCCUAAAAACAUACUUAGCAUAUUUGAUUAAUAGCUAUUAAGCUAGUUUGAACUCGAAUAGGAGACUCUAAUAAGAGUCGGGUUCUCUUCCAUCCCCGAUGUCAAUUGAUUAGGUUCCACUACUGGGAUUCC
rnacentral:lncRNA from 1 species